AGAGUUUGAUCAUGGCUCAGGACGAACGCUGGCGGCGUGCUUAACACAUGCAAGUCGAGCGGAAAGGCCCUUCGGGGUACUCGAGCGGCGAACGGGUGAGUAACACGUGAGCAACCUGCCCCUGGCUCUGGGAUAGCCUCCGGAAACGGGGAUUAAUACCGGACAUGACUGCCUCCUGCAUGGGGGGUGGUGGAAAGUUUUUCGGCCAGGGUGGGGCUCGCGGCCUAUCAGCUUGUUGGGGGGGUGACGGCCCACCAAGGCGACGACGGGUAGCCGGCCUGAGAGGGCGACCGGCCACACUGGGACUGAGACACGGCCCAGACUCCUGCGGGAGGCAGCAGUGGGGAAUAUUGCGCAAUGGGGGGAACCCUGACGCAGCGACGCCGCGUGCGGGAUGACGGCCUUCGGGUUGUAAACCGCUUUCACCAGGGACGAAGCGGGAGUGACGGUACCUGGGGAAGAAGCGCCGGCUAACUACGUGCCAGCAGCCGCGGUAAUACGUAGGGCGCGAGCGUUGUCCGGAUUUAUUGGGCGUAAAGAGCUCGUAGGCGGCCUGUCGCGUCUGCCGUGAAAUUCCGGGGGCUUAACCCUGGGCGUGCGGUGGAUACGGGCUGGCUGGAGGCAGGCAGGGGAGAACGGAAUUCCCGGUGUAGCGGUGAAAUGCGCAGAUAUCGGGAGGAACACCGGUGGCGAAGGCGGUUCUCUGGGCCUGUCCUGACGCUGAGGAGCGAAAGCGUGGGGAGCGAACAGGAUUAGAUACCCCUGUAGUCC
rnacentral:rRNA from 1 species